rnacentral:rRNA from 1 species
GAUGAACGCUAGCGGCAGGCUUAAUACAUGCAAGUCGAGGGGCAGCACGGUUAGCAAUAACUGGUGGCGACCGGCGCACGGGUGCGUAACACGUAUACAAUCUACCUUAAACAGGGGGAUAGCCUUUCGAAAGAGAGAUUAAUACCCCGUAAUAAAUUGAACGGCAUCGUUUGAUUUUGAAAGCUCCGGCGGUUUGAGAUGAGUAUGCGUCUGAUUAGCUAGUUGGUGAGGUAACGGCUCACCAAGGCGACGAUCAGUAGGGGAUCUGAGAGGACUAACCCCCACACUGGUACUGAGACACGGACCAGACUCCUACGGGAGGCAGCAGUAAGGAAUAUUGGUCAAUGGGGGCAACCCUGAACCAGCCAUGCCGCGUGCAGGAUGACGGCCCUAUGGGUUGUAAACUGCUUUUAUACCAGAGAAAACCCGAGUACGUGUACUCGGUUGAUAGUAUGGUAAGAAUAAGCAUCGGCUAACUUCGUG